UACGGAGGGGGCGAACGUUGUCCGGAAUUACUGGGUUUAAAGGGUGCGUAGGCGGCUUGGCAAGACAGGAGUGAAAGUUUGCGGCUCAACCGUAAAAUUGCUUUUGAUACUGCCAGGCUGGAAUCAGGAUGAGGUCAGCGGAAUGUGGCAUGUAGCGGUGAAAUGCAUAGAUAUGCCAUAGAACACCAAUUGCGAAGGCAGCUGGCUAGACCUGUAUUGACGAUGAGGCACGAAAGCGUGGGGAGCGAACAGG
rnacentral:rRNA from 1 species